rnacentral:lncRNA from 1 species
CCCAGCCUCAGCAAGCAACAAAACUCCCGCAGCUUUGGCUACGUGACUUUGGCUUUGGCUUUAGAGUCAAGAAUAGAGGGGACAGCUGGGACAAUUAUGCUGGUUAGCUGGAGCUAAGAAAUGAGCAAUGAUUAAGAAGAGACCAGCAUCACUGAGGUGAAAUCUGGGAAGCAUUUUCCGACAGCACAAAGAAGCUGUGUUCCAGAGAUAGACCCUCCUCCUGGCUGCCUGCAGAAGACAGUCUCCUUCCCACUCUGUGGAUCAAGAAGUAGAACUCCCAGGUCCUUCUCCAGCACCAUGCCUGUGUGCACAAUGCCAUGCUUCCUCCUAUGACGAUGAUGGACUGACUGAACCUCUGAAACUGUGCCUGUGCCCCAUGUGCAUGCAGUACCUAUACAGGCCAGGAGAGGGCGGGAGAUCCUCUGCAACUGGAGUCACAUGCGUGAGCUUCCAUGCCGGUGCCGGGAAUCGAAUCCUUUACUAGCAGCCCUGUGCUCUCUGAACGAGUGAGGCAUCUCCCUAGCCCCAGCUAUAAAUUUCUUUGUAAAACAAAAAUACAGACAGCGCCAUCUCUACAGCCCUGGCUUGGGUUGUUUCUAUCCGUGUGCCGUCUGGGAAGACAUUUGGAGACGGGGAUUUGGGGACUACACCUUCCUUGUUUAAUGACCGAGGACUGGGAUGGAUGACGGGGGUUCAAAAACCAAACAGUGGCACUGAAAUUACAUUUUCAGACGCACUUUUCUCGUAGGUAAGUAGGACUAAUUGUUCAUUUAAAAAAAAAAAAAACAAAAAAACCUUUCUGUGGGCUGGUGAGAUGGCUCAGCAGAUAAGGUGUCUGUGGCUAAGUAUGAAAACCUGAGUUCAAUUCUGCGAUCCCACUUGGUGG